AGUGAACGCUGGCGGCGUGCUUAACACAUGCAAGUCGAACGAGAACGGAUUAUAGCUUGCUAUAAUUGUCAACUAAGUGGCGCACGGGUGAGUAAUGUAUAGGUAAUAUGCCUCUUACUAAGGGAUAACAAAUGGAAACGUUUGCUAAUACCUUGUACUCCUUAUUAACAGAAGUUAAUAAGGGAAAGAUUUAUUGGUAAGAGAUUAGCCUGUAUUGUAUCAGUUAGUUGGUGGGGUAAUGGCUUACCAAGACUAUGACACAUAACUGGUUUGAGAGGAUGAUCAGUCACACUGGAACUGAGACACGGUCCAGACUCCUACGGGAGGCAGCAGUGGGGAAUAUUGCACAAUGGACGAAAGUCUGAUGCAGCAACGCCGCGUGGAGGAUGACACAUUUCGGUGCGUAAACUCCUUUUAUAUGAGAAGAUAAUGACGGUAUUAUAUGAAUAAGCACCGGCUAACUCCGUGCCAGCAGCCGCCGUAA
rnacentral:rRNA from 1 species